rnacentral:rRNA from 1 species
CGGCGAGUGAAGCGGGAUGAGCUCAAAUUUGAAAGCUGGCAGUAAUGUCCGCGUUGUAAUCUCGAGAGUUGUUUUCCGUGCUGGACCGAGUACAAGUUCCUUGGAAUAGGAUGUCAUAGAGGGUGAAAAUCCCGUACUUGACUUGGACGCCCAGUGCUUUGUGAUACAUCUUCGAAGAGUCGAGUUGUUUGGGAAUGCAGCUCAAAAUGGGUGGUAAAUUCCAUCUAAAGCUAAAUAUUGGGGAGAGACCGAUAGCGAACAAGUACCGUGAGGGAAAGAUGAAAAGCACUUUGGAAAGAGAGUUAAACAGUACGUGAAAUUGUCAAAAGGGAAGCCAUUUGAAGUCAGACGUGUAUUUCAGUAUUCAGCCUUGCUUUUGCUUGGUGUUUUGCUGUUGUACAGGCCAACAUCAGUUUUGAGUGACGGAUAAGGGUAGGAGGAAUGUGGCACCCUCGGGUGUGUUAUAGCCUCUUACUGGAUACGUCGUUUGGGACUGAGGAACGCAGCGCGCCGUAAGGCAGACCUUCGGGUACUUUCGCGUUAGGAUGUUGGCGUAAUGGCUUUA